CCCAAAACGUAUCUAAUAUUUCUUCACGAUCGUGUGCGUGAUUCCACGAAGUGCAAAAAGUCGCCCAUGUUUUGCUGGCCAUACACCAACGCCGACGACGGUGACCCACCACAGAAGAUGGCGCGCAGAAUAUCAACUAAUCGAUCGAAUUACAACUGGACAAUAGGCAAAAAAGACGUCUUUAAAUUUGGUUGUCGAAAUACGAACCACGCGGUGGUAGUGCUCGAAAAGCUUGCCCAAAAAUCCACCAAGUAUUGAUUUCCGGAACGAUGCACCCGUGUCCACCAGGGUCGCAAUGGUGGUGUAAUUUUUGGGUUUUCGUAUGUCGAUCGAGCGUAUAAAAUUCAAUGCUGAAAACAAUGAAAACUGAACUCUCGUGUUUGGCCACGAGCAUCGUGUUGCAUAGCACGUCUUUUCGGUGCAGAUAGAACGGAGUGUAAGGUGUCCCAAUAGUGCAUCCCAUGUAUGCUGGCGCCAUUAGCCUAUGGUAGGGAUUGAUAGAACACAAAUAGAGGCGUGAGAUGAUACGCAAUCGCGGCUAUUGGCAGGAUGCAUUCGCAUUCGAGUGGGUGAAACUUUCCGUGAAAU